rnacentral:rRNA from 1 species
GAGUUUGAUCCUGGCUCAGGAUGAACGCUAGCGGCAGGCCUAACACAUGCAAGUCGAGGGGCAGCACGUCUUCGGAUGGUGGCGACCGGCGCACGGGUGCGUAACGCGUAUGCAACCUACCUCUUACAGUGGGAUAGCCCAGAGAAAUUUGGAUUAAUACCGCAUAGUAUAAAAGAUCAGCAUUGAUUUUUUAUUAAACAUUUAUGGGUAAGAGAUGGGCAUGCGUUCUAUUAGCUAGAUGGAGUGGUAACGGCACCCCAUGGCUACGAUAGAUAGGGGCCCUGAGAGGGGGAUCCCCCACACUGGUACUGAGACACGGACCAGACUCCUACGGGAGGCAGCAGUGAGGAAUAUUGGACAAUGGGCGAGAGCCUGAUCCAGCCAUGCCGCGUGCAGGAAGACGGCCCUAUGGGUUGUAAACUGCUUUUGUACGGGAAGAAACACCCCCUCGUGAGGGGGCUUGACGGUACCGUAAGAAUAAGGAUCGGCUAACUCCGUGCCAGCAGCCGCGGUAAUACGGAGGAUCCAAGCGUUAUCCGGAAUCAUUGGGUUUAAAGGGUC